GACGAACGCUGGCGGCGUGCUUAACACAUGCAAGUCGAACGGAAAGGCCCUGCGGGGUACUGGAGUGGGGAACGGGUGGGUAACACGUGGGUGAGAUGCCCCGCACUUUGGGAUAAGAAUGGGAAACUGGGGCUAAUACUAACUAGGACCACGCGCUUCAGGGAGUGGGGGGGCAUGGGUUGGCGGCGUGGGAUGGGCCCGCGGCCUAUCAGCUUGAUGGUGGGGGAAUGGCGUACCAAGACGACGACGGGUAGCCGGCCUGAGAGGGGGAGCGGCCACACUGGGACUGAGAUACGGCCCAGACUCCUACGGGAGGCAGCAGUGGGGAAUAUUGCACAAUGGGCGCAAGCCUGAUGCAGCGACGCCGCGUGUGGGAUGACGGCCUUCGGGUUGUAAACCGCUUUCAAUUGGGACGAAGCGCAAGUGACGGUACCUACAGAAGAAGCACCGGCUAACUACGUG
rnacentral:rRNA from 1 species